UUUUUCUCAGUGAGGUUUGACAAAUAUUUUUAUUCGAAGCACAAUCAAUAAUUGCGUGGACAAACCCGAAAACUGCUAAAGGCAUAUUAGGUAAGUGAAAUAAUACCAAACAGACAUGGAAUAGCAAACUUCACUACAUUUGUGGUUUCUUUCAUACAUUGACAUUUUGAAUAGUUUUUUAUAUUACAAAUGACGUACAGUUAAUAUCUUUAUAGUGCUUUUAUGACGUUCCUGCAUGAAAUACUGGCUGAAAAUAAAAAUAAAACAAUUAGCAGACUCCAACUCCUGUACCAAGUCAGGAAUAUGGCAGUUUUAUCCAUUCGUUUUAUGUGUUUGAGCUUUUGAUUUUGACAUGUGAUUAAAGAAAAGUAAAAGCAUAAAAAUACUGAACUCCGCGAAAAAUUCAAAAAGGUAAGUCCCUAAUUAAAUGGCAAAAUCAAAAGCUCAAACACAUCAAACGAAUGAAUAACAACUGUCAUAUUCUUGACAUAAUACAGGCAUUUUUCUUAUGUAGAAAGAUGGUGGAUUGAAAAUGGUUUCAUAUCUAGUUAAACCUCUCACUAGUAUGACAGUCGAAUCAAAUUGUAUUGAAUACGAUGCGUGAACAAAUCAAACAGACACAAUAGGAAAAGAUUUCAAAAUAUUGGUACAGCGGUCAACACUGUGUUAUUUUUUAUCUUUAUAAAAUCAAACAAAUCUAACAAAGAAGCAUAAAAAGGCAAACAUCAAAUUUAACAACCUACAUGCAAUUUUGCUUUUUAUAAUACGUUUUUAUUUAUCUAUAUAAAAUCCACCCAUAAAGGAUUGGAAGAAUUUAAGUAAUGGGGCCGAAUCUUAACAUUGACAGACACAUGGUUAGAAUAACAUAACUCUGACAUAGAACCGUGCGUUUGUAGUCACACAGGUAGAUAGACAAUAUUUUAGUCGUUCAAAGUAUGACGGGACGCAUAAAUACAGGG
rnacentral:lncRNA from 1 species